GGGCGCGUAGCUCAACGGCAGAGCAGCCGGCUCAUAACCGGUCGGUUGGGGGUUCGAAUCCCUCCGCGCCCACUA
rnacentral:tRNA from 1 species